rnacentral:rRNA from 1 species
UACAGAGGUGACAAACGUUGUCCGGAAUUAUUGGGCGUAAAGGGCGCGUAGGUGGUUGAGUAAGUCAGGUGUGAAAGCUCUGGGCUUAACCCAGGAAUUGCAUCUGAUACUGCUCGGCUUGAGUACGGUAGAGGAGGGUGGAAUUCCCAGUGUAGCGGUGAAAUGCGUAGAUAUUGGGAGGAACACCGGUGGCGAAGGCGGCCCUCUGGACCGAAACUGACACUGAAGCGCGAAAGCUAGGGGAGCAAACGGGAUUAGAUACCCCGGUAGUCCUAGCCUUAAACGAUGAGUACUAGGUGUAGGAGGUAUUGACCCCUUCUGUGCCGCAGCUAACGCAUUAAGUACUCCGCCUGGGAACUACGACCGCAAGGUUGAA